rnacentral:rRNA from 1 species
UACGUAGGGUGCAAGCGUUAAUCGGAAUUACUGGGCGUAAAGCGUGCGCAGGCGGUUAUGUAAGACAGGUGUGAAAUCCCAGGGCUUAACCUUGGAACUGCAUUUGUGACUGCAUAGCUAGAGUACGGUAGAGGGGGAUGGAAUUCCGCGUGUAGCAGUGAAAUGCGUAGAUAUGCGGAGGAACACCGGAUGGCGAAGGCAAUCCCCUGGACCUGUACUGACGCUCAUGCACGAAAGCGUGGGGAGCAAACAGGG